rnacentral:rRNA from 1 species
UGUGGAACCACCUGAACCCAUCUCGAACUCAGAAGUGAAACGCAGUAGCGCCAAUGGUAGUGUGGGGCUUCCCCAUGUGAGAGUAGGUCAUCGUC